ensembl:ncRNA F45E1.13 ncRNA
UUUACAGUCUCGCAAGAUGCUCGUCCUUCCCACCGCUGCCGCUCUGGCUUGCCCGAAUGAACUUUUCCUCUUUUUUUGCAUGUGCGGUCUGUUCGUUUGUUCAACUCAUUGUCAUCUCUAUUUCCUUUUUCUGUUUUUGGAAGCUCAAUUCGCGCAAAAGUGCUCUUUCCGCUAAAA